rnacentral:lncRNA from 1 species
CAGUUAUUGCCAGUUUCAAGAUUUUGAAAGACUUAAUCAAUUGCUAAUAAACAAUUCUAUUUUCUGAAUUUAUUGGGUUUCUUUCAAAUAAAGCUAGUUUUUUAAAAGCACAUGCUGUAAGAAUUAGGGUUUUAACAGUCAGAUUAGUUUAUGCAUUUAAAUAGUUAAGCCUCUGAACCAGUUGCUGCUUGUAUCAGAGUGACAAUUACUGCCAGUCACGAGCUUGGUUUAGUUAAUAAUGAAAUGACUGGACAGUUUUGUUUCUGAAUUAUGUGUUAAUAUAUGGUAACACUUUCUUUACUGGAUAAAUGAAAAAAAAAAAAUCAAUCUUGAUUUUCUUGGUUUGGUUCAGAAAUUCAAAAAAAAAAAUACAUGAAUCAACGUUGAUUAGUAGCAACUGGCUGAUUUCGACAAAUUCAUGCAUAAGUUGGCUGGCUUCAGCCAAUUUAUGAAUUGAUUUGACAGGUAAUAGAUCAUGCACUUGUUUAGGUUUGGUUUGGGAUCUCUCCACCAUGAAAAUGUGAGAAUCGGGCAGUUCAAACUAGCUUUUCGGACCAUGACAACAAAAAAGCUAUCCAACCAAUGGCCAUGAAAUGUUAUUUUAUUCAUGUCUUGUAGAAUCAUAAUACCAAGUAAUCUAUUAAUGCCAUGCCAAUGCUACAAGAUUGGGAAAAAGGUUUCUCCAGUACAUAUCAUAAUAAUAGAAUUAACAACUG